AGAAAAGAGGUACAGCUGUACGGAACUCUAAACAACCAAAAAUGAAGAAGGCAAAAUUGUCUCAUUCAAGAAAAAAAAAGUCAAAAAAAAAGACACAUGAAGAUCAGGUUUCUUCAGAAGAUUCAGAUACUUCUGAUAAAGAUUCAGAUAACAGUGAUGCACAAGAUGGUCCUUCAGAUGCUGAUUUUUGGAAAGGUCCUCUGCAAGAUGCAGAUGAAAAAUCACGGUUAGUUUGAACAACCAGUGAGCUUUUGUCUUGUAAACCAUAUUGUGACCAUUCAAAAGUGCAAAGGCAAAGACUUUUCCUGAGUAUUUUAAUGAUAGUCUAACAUCUAAAGUUGCUUUAAAUCUCCUAUAUAUUGAACCUAAGAAUACUGUUGUGUUUUUUGGUUUGUUUUUUUUAACUGAACAUAUAUACAGUACCAGAAGAGAAACCUUUAUCAAGGAGUUAUCUUACCAUCUCUGUCUUAUCCUGUGCUUAACUAGUAAAUUAACUAGUAAAUCUUAACAGUCAACUCAUUCUGUUGCACAAAAAAGAAAUGUGAUGGGUAUGCGAAUGUAGUGAAUAAGUAAAACUUAUCUAUACCAGGUACAUACUCUAACCAGAAAUCUGCUAAAUUUUGUUAUCUCCAAGACAGAAAUCAAAAUCAAAACUUUACUUGACAUAUUUCUAUUUUUUUUUUUACAGAGAGGAAGAGUUCGAUGAAUAUUUUCAGGAUUUGUUUCUCUGAAACUUGAAAUUGAUGUGGGUUGAUUUUUGUUGUUGUUGUUAUUGCUGUGAAUUGUCAAGAAAUUCAGUUGUAAGUAGGGACCAGAGACUUCUUCCCAACAACAUGCCUUUUCUGCAGUCACUCCAUAUGGACCAUCUGACUGAAUUAUCUCUGCAGAAGGCUUCAGGGCUGAAAGCUUUCUUUUUUUUCUUUUUUUUGGGGGGGGUAGGCUUGUAUACUCAUGCAAUACGAGAAAUGUACUCAGGAAGUACAAGUUAA
rnacentral:lncRNA from 1 species